rnacentral:rRNA from 1 species
AGGCCAUAUCACAUUGAAAUGCAGGUUCUCGUACGAGUAUUGAAGUUAAGCAAGCUCGAACCUGGUCAGUAACUGGAUGGGUGACGACUUGGGAAAGCCAGGUGCUGUAAG